rnacentral:rRNA from 1 species
UACGUAGGGCGCAAGCGUUAAUCGGAAUUACUGGGCGUAAAGCGUGCGCAGGCGGUGAUGUAAGUCAGGUGUGAAAUCCCAGGGCUCAACCUUGGAACUGCAUUUGUGACUGCAUCGCUGGAGUGCGGCAGAGGGGGAUGGAAUUCCGCGUGUAGCAGUGAAAUGCGUAGAUAUGCGGAGGAACACCGAUGGCGAAGGCAAUCCCCUGGGCCUGCACUGACGCUCAUGCACGAAAGCGUGGGGAGCAAACAGG